AGAAACAGAAGAGGUGCGUUGCCCAGGUAAGCCGGAGCAGGAGAGCGAACUCCGCCAAUGCCGGCCCAGGGGGAGCAACGCCGAGAUGGUGAACCGUUCGACUCGGAACACCGUCGGCCACCGGGGCUGAAUCUCCGGGGCUGUCACCAUUGGAUGUAGGUGGAGAGCUUCUGGAAGA
rnacentral:ncRNA from 2 species